rnacentral:rRNA from 1 species
UACGUAGGGGGCGAGCGUUGUCCGGAGUUACUGGGCGUAAAGCGCACGCAGGCGGUCUGCUAAGUUUGGAGUGACAGUUGGUGGCUUAACUGCCAAAGUGCUUCGAAAACUGACAGACUUGAGGGCUUCAGAGGGACACGGAAUUCCGGGUGGAGUGGUGAAAUGCGUAGAGAUCCGGAGGAACACCAAAGGCGAAGGCAGUGUCCUGGGAGGCAUCUGACGCUCAGGUGCGAAAGCCAGGGGAGCGAACGGG